rnacentral:rRNA from 1 species
UACGAAGGGGACUAGCGUUGUUCGGAAUCACUGGGCGUAAAGCGCACGUAGGCGGGUUUGUGAGUCAGGGGGGAAAUCCCGGAGCUCAACUCCGGAACUGCCCUUGAUACAGCAAGCCUUGAGUCCGGAAGAGGUAGGUGGAAUUCCUAGUGUAGAGGUGAAAUUCGUAGAGAUCCGGAGGAACACCGAAGGCGAAGGCAGUGUCCUGGGGAGUACCUGACGCUCAGGUGCGAAAGCCAGGGGAGCGAACGGG